CUUAAGUGGCGGACGGGUGAGUAACGCGUGGGAAACCUGCCCUGUACCGGGGGAUAACACUUAGAAAUAAGGUGCUAAUACCGCAUAAGCGCACAGCUUCACAUGAAGCAGUGUGAAAAACUCCGGUGGUACAGGAUGGUCCCGCGUCUGAUUAGCCAGUUGGCGGGGUAACGGCCCACCAAAGCGACGAUCAGUAGCCGACCUGAGAGGGUGACCGGCCACAUUGGGACUGAGACACGGCCCAA
rnacentral:rRNA from 1 species